CCCUCUUCUCCUCCCCCAGCCCGACCUCUUCCCGAUCCAAAAAUCAACACAGCCUCCGUGAGCGGCAGGAGCGCGCGCGGCAGCCUCGAGCGAGGGGUAGCACGGCGGCUAAUAGCGGGAUAGCCGCGGGCGAGCGGCAAGCGGCAAGCGGGGCGCGGAGGCUGCAGUGGUGGUGAGCAGCAUCGCGUGGCUGCGGCGGCAUUGAGCGGCGUGGUGCGGAGGCUGCUCGUCGGCGUCCUUGAGCGGCCGGGGGUGCGGCACCGGUGAUGGAGUGCGGCGGGGCGAGCGGCCGCCGCGGUCUCCACACACCCGCCUGGGCCCUUCGCGCACCGAGCGGUGUCUCGGGGUUUCCAGAUGCCGGCGUUCUCCCCAUCCUUGCAUUUGGCCCUUGCACCUCGAUCUGUGGGAAAAGCUACCUGAAAGCAUCCCUACUCUGCGCGCCUUACCGUCCCUCCCCUGCAUGGUCCUGACGAGCAGCAGGUUAAAGAAGCGUCCUGAUCCUUCACGAGUUUUACUAGUGGCAGGUUCAUAUGGCAUGACACCCUUUUCCAACUCUAUCACCUCAUGCACAUGAUAGUGAUAGUACUGAACUUCACAAGGGAGAGGGUUCCAAGUGAAGACUAAGAGGCCUCAAUUGUAUUUUAAAGAUUUUUUUGAAGGCGGCAUGAUACAGUUAAUUGUGACUAAUAUUUGUACAUAUGUGUAGCCUGGACAAUACAUGUAUAUGUUUGGAUUCAGUAAUCCAUAGAAGCCUUUUUAUUUCUGCAGUAUGCACUUCUCCAUUAUUUCUCUGGUGUUGCUGGUGAAUCAUUAUUUUCUAGUAACACCCCUGUACAUGCUUGGAUUCAGUAAUAGGGAGAUCCAGUUAUUCAGUA